rnacentral:rRNA from 1 species
AUACGGGAGGCAGCAGUAAGGGAUAUUGCGCAAUGGGCGAAAGCCUGACGCAGCAACGCCGCGUGCCCGAGGAAGGCCUUCGGGUCGUAAAGGGCUUUUAGGGCUGAAGAGCAAGGACGGUAAGCCCGGAAGAAGUGUCGGCUAACUACGUGCCAGCAGCCGCGGUAAAACGUAGGACGCAAGCGUUAUCCGGAGUUACUGGGCGUAAAGGGCAGGCAGGCGGGCUGGUAAGUUGGAUGUGAAAUCUCCUGGCUUAACCGGGAGGGUGCAUCUGAGACUGUCAGCCUGGAGGGCAGCAGAGGAGCGUGGAAUUCCGGGUGGAGUGGUGAAAUGCGUAGAGAUCCGGAGGAACACCAGAGGCGAAAGCGGGGCUCUGGGCUGCACCUGACGCUGAACUGCGAAAGCCAGGGGAGCGAACGGGAUUAGAUACCCCGGUAGU